CAACAGCUUAGCUGCAAGCCUCUGCUUCUGCCUGCUGGGGCCGGCUGGCUCGCCCUUUCCAUUCCGCUUGCACUCUGAUUCUUGUGGUGUCCCAAGAAGGCCGCGGAUCUCAGUUAAGCAGAGACGAGCCGAACACCUGGCACGGUCCUUCUCUACUGUUCUCUCGAAUCGUUUUCUGAGUGCAUGACUGAGCCUGGCACUGAAGGGAUACUUAUUUUGGGGAAGGAAGAACUCAAAAGUCCAGUUUUUUUCACUGUUGACCCUCAUGUGUCACAUUAGUGGCUUUCAAACUGUUUUGAUCCCAGCCUACGGUGAACAAAAAUAUUUUACAUCAAACUCAAUACCACAUACUUGUUACCUGCUUCCUGUCUGGUUGAUGAAAUGCCAAGGUGAAAGGGAUGGCCAAUUGGAUCAGAGCGCAAGUGCCACUCCAGUCGUUUGGCAGUGUACCCAAUAUUGGUCCCCCACAAUACCACCACACAUCCACUCAGGGAUGGAUAGGGCCGACUGACUGAAAAAAGUUUGAAAAAGGGAUAGAGAAGGAGAGGUCCUUGUCUCCAACAUAGAGCAUAAUCUAUCUCCUCUUGAGAAACUGGACUUUUAUCAUUGACAUAUUGGAUCAGGAGUUGGCAUAUCCAGUCCUUGUUCAACCCAAACUUUGGCCAAAAGACCAAAGGUCUGAGGAUGGGUUCCUUAGUCCAAAUAAAACAGCAAUACUUUA
rnacentral:lncRNA from 1 species